GGUCGGAUAUUUUGAAAACGGAAGCUUAAGCUCCGCCCAUCAAUCAAUAAUUCCUCAUUUCACUUGUGGAAGGUGUUUGUGGAGCUUUGGCUGUAAAAGCUAGUUUGUCUUUCAUAAAAGUUUUGAAAAAUUAUUCAAGACGACGGUCUUAAAGAUGAACCUCGCCCAGGCCAUCCGGAAGGCGAAAAAAAUUAGACAGUAUCGUAAUCGAAUGAAAAAAACUCUUUGGCAGUUGAUCGAGGUGGUUGACCCCGACAGGCCCUGCGAUCAUCCUGAUUGUGGAAAAGACGACUUUGUGCUUUGCAAGUGUGUUACUGAAGCACUCAUGGAGAUACGGCGAGCCCAUUUCGCCAAACGAGUCAACCAUGAGGCUGACUCUGAAGAAGACGCCAACUAAGUCAUCUUCGAGUACUCCACUCAUCACCUUGUACUUUCUUCUCUCACAAUCCUGUAGUCUGUCUGUCUGUAUACAGCCUGUGUAUUUAGCCAAAUAAAACUCGUGGCCAAGUCUUCUGCACAAGACUUUAUGAACACUCUGUAUAUCUCUCCGACAUAUCAAAUCAUGCCACGUUGGCCGUUUUUGAAAUUUAUUUUUAAGUUAGCGUAUUUUUAUUUAUCAGAUUUUAUGCUUAAUGCUAUGAUUACCGUUCUUUGUUUGUAUUACUAUUUUAAUUGAAUAUAUUUUAUUGUUGUGUUAUUUAAUAUUAUAACUUUGUUUAAAUGAUUAUUUUAGGUGAUUAGGUAUGCCUCCCUUUCCUAUUCUAAAAUAAACUUUCUCUUCUACCUCUUGAUUCUGUGUUUUAUUUCAUUAAAAAUAAUUACAAAAAAUUUAAUGGGACAGCCAUAUUCUGAGAAGACUACCUAAUAAAAUAAAAUAAAGAAGUUUUCUCACAAACAAUCUUUAAUAAUUGUAUAAAUUAUUAUAGACACGAUGAGGUAAAUACAUUUUUUUUAUUAAUUUUAAUUUACUAAUUAAACUUACUAUCACCUAGACAACCAAUACCUAUUGAUCUAUAUUUUUGAAUAACAAAAGCGCCUUGAUAACUUGCGAAACAAAAACAAAAAUCUCAAAUAGACAUGGAUAAAUUCAUAGUUAAUGACUUAGCUAAUAUCCAUUAUUUAACUAUUUAUUUUCACCAAUUGUCGUUCCACUGCUGGUCAAAACUAAUAUCAGUUGCAUACAUAAAAAACAUAGAAUGAUAUCAAAUAAUUUGCUCUCUGGUUAGCGAUAUGAGAAAGUGUUUGUUUACAAAAUAACUGCCACUAAUUGGGACGAAAGCUUAUUAAUCUGAAGUCAUCUAAUAUAAUUAAUAUGAAUACCGUUAUAUGAAAUAAGGAUUAUUCAUAGACAUUUGUGUAGGAGGUCGGCAGUGUCGGGGAGAUCUUUUGUUCAAGCUAAGACUGUCUAGUAUCAUUACAUUUGUACAUAAUCAGCCUUCGGCACAUGACGUCGUCGAGGCAUAUUAUAAUAUUUCUAUAACAAAGUCUAUGGAAGCUGUGGAACAAGGAAAUAAUUUGCACUUGCGCACAAAUAGUUUGUGCAUCGUCGUAAAUCAAUAAAUAAUUUUCAAACGUCUUCAUACACGGGUGGAGGUGCGCUUUUGUAUUACCUAAAUUGUGACAUUUCUAGAAGUGGUGGGUGUCGGUUAGCUACCUGUUGAGUGAACAUUAAGCGAAGCCGCUGUCGCUACAAAGAAGCGGCUAGCUUCAUAAUGCGCACCAGUGAAAUGGCAGUGAGAUACAGGAAAACACAAAAUGUUCCCAAUGAUUCUGACGAAGAAUUGGAGAAGAGCCUAGUGACGUCAACAAUAUACUGUAAUUGCAGGGACUGUAAGAAGUACCGUGCUAAUAAGAAACCCAUUACAUGCAUUGAUCCUUACUUAAUUAAUAUGAGGCAUACCUACUGGAUCUAUCGUGGUCUGGUGACUGCUAGCACGACCCAACGAGCCUACAUGAAUGCAGCCAGCAGCUACCAGAACCAAGACGUGAAGAAGGACAAUAAAGGGACAAUAAAGGAAAAUAAAACAAACAAAACCAAAAACAACAAAAAGCCAACGAAAAAUAAUAAUACGAAAAAGAAGUAAAAAGAAGCUGACUUAGAAAGAAGACGCGUGCAAAAAGGAUACCACCAGGACUGCUUCACACAGAAUUAGAACCUGUUACUUAUUCCUGCAUUAAGUGCUGUUCUUAAAACUUUUAAGGGAAGUUGUUAAAUAUUUUUUAAAUACAAUUUAAACAUAUUUUAGUUAAGAGAAACAAAAAGUUUCAAACUGGGCACCUUUUUAAAAACUAUUUAGGUAAAAUAGAAUAGGAUAUGUUAUAUCACAGUCUUUACAUAAAUUAAUGCUAAUACGUAAAGGGUACUAAGGCUUCCAAAGAAUACAUUAAUGGGCAAUACAUUCCUAAUUAAUUACACUAAGAAUAGUACUAUAUAGAUAUACGGGUAUUCCUAAAUACAGAGGUAUGAAAAGAGAUUUUAAUAAAAUGAAAUAGCAGAGGAAUGAAAAAUAAUAUUGCACAUAUUUACAUAGUUUUACAAAUACCGUAUACAAUCAAUUUUAUGUGUGCAAAAUAGUUAUUUGUAUAUAUGGAUAUAAUAUAUGCAACGUCACUUCUUUUUUUUACCCCGAAGGGGUAGGCAGAGAGAGAUGUACUUUACGGCACGUAAUGCCGCUAAAUCUUGUUUAUUAUAUUUUGUAAAAGCUUUGAAGAUCUUAUCUAAGCGCAAGCGGAUGUUACAAUUACUUAUAAUAGUAAACUUUAUUAUUAGAUACGCAGGUAACCUUUUUGCACGAGUCCCUAAAUCAUUAUGUGCCAACUAUCUUACUAAGAUUUUUUCACCCAUUUCACCCACAAAAAUUUUGUCAUCAUCUAAUCAAUAUCAUGUAUCGAACAAUCCAAGACUGAUAAGUUGAAUUUCAAGUAUUAUAACCUACUUAUAAUGAUAAAAUCUUUAUUUAAUUUUAAUUUUAACUUUAGAAGGAAAAUGUUAACCCGGUUAAUUUUAAAGUUACUACAUAUCUCCUGUCUGUGUAAGGAUUUAAUUUCGCCACUGAGAGUGGACCUAUAGUUAAACUAUGAAACUAAUUUUAUGUGUUCAAUUAUUUGCGAGCUUUAAUCCAUACUAAUAUAUAAAUGCAAUAUGCAGGUACACAGAUCUUCCAUUUUAAUGACAAUUGUUAAUUUAAGUUGUUAUAUUUUAUAAGUAUUUUGAUAUAAAGAUGGGUGAAUGUUUGGAAAAUGUGUUGAGGAUCAAACGAUGUUUUUAAAGUUGUUGGCGUGUUAGUGUUUUAAGUUCAUUGAUAAACUGAAAAUAUACCCACUUUCAAGUCAUAUUGUCUCAUAGUUCUCAUGCUGCAACCGACAUGAAAAAGUAACGAAGAGAGAAAUAUUUCUAAGAUCAUCACAAUUGUAUAAAUCUUCAGUAUUUGGGCGAAAUUUUAGUAGUAUAAAAAUCGUGCAGUGUUAGCAUUAGGUUUAGAGCAUAUUGGCUCCAGUUUUUCAUAUAAAUUAGGGAUAUAUGUAGCUACUACUUAUGUAUUUUUUGUCACCCCUAAAAAUGUAGGGUGUUCACUAGGUAUUUAGUUUGAUUAGUAGUAAAUAACAUUGUAUGUAUCUUUAACAGAAAAUUAGUAUAUUAUACUAAUGCACUAUUAUUACCACUUAUCUUUCUUAGAUUAGAUACGAUUUACUCUUUGUCUUCAUUAUAAAAAUACUAGAUUAUUUAAUAUAUAUCACAUUUAACCAUAAAGAUACCAUUUCAAGACCAAAUCUUUCGCAUGCAAUAAGAUGUAUUCAGAGUGAUAAAGGAUUCCUACUUACAGUACUUACAGUUGUUGAAAAUUAUAAUAUUUUAUAUAUGAGAAUAAUCUGAUUGAUGUCUAUUGUCUAGUAAUGGAAAAGUGAAUAGAUUACUUUUGUUGUAAGUAGUUUUUAUUAUGUAAGAAAAUAUAAUUUGAUGUUAAGUCAGCCAGGUUAUGUAGUAUGCAGAUAGGAAGUCAAGAUUUAUUAAGUACUGAGACAAUAAUAGCUGAUUGACUAUUGAGCUGACCAAAAAGUAUACAAUUUUGUAUAACGAAACACUAUCUCUGUACGGAAUGAAGCUGAUUGUACAUUAGUAAAUGUACUAGUUCUUAAUGGAAUAUUUUUGUGUGACUUUUGAAAAGUUAUCGUAAUGUUAAAAACGUUGACGUUUAUUAAAUAAAGUAGGUUUAUAUUUAAACAAAAUGCUGGUAUUCAAUGCAGGGACUGCAUAUCGGUAUAAAAUAUUUAAAUAGUACUAGUAAAAUUUCACUACUCUUAUUUGUAUACCGGCUUUUAAAGCGUAAUUUCGGUAUCAGAUAUUAAAAUUUGAUUAGAAAUAUAUGAGUACUCAAAUGUAUGUACUGAACUAAUUUCUGUUAAGAUGUUUUCAGUACAACAAUUAUUAUAACCGAUAUUUUAUUUCUGUACCGAAAUACGAGGCGGCGCGCGUCAGAAGGACUGUAGCACGAAGGAAUAAAGGCGGGGAGUCCCCUCCCUUAUUCCUUGGACGGAUGAGCUAAAGAAUCGAGAAUAACCGAUAAUUCAUAAGAAUAUCAAUAUAAUAUAGAUAAAUUACCGCUACCCUAAUCAUCUGUUAUAUAUGUACCAAUAUUAUACGAUACAAGAAUAAUUAAGAUACACGAAUCAUGUCUGUUUGAAUAUCUGUACUGUUAUUUUUGAAUAACAGAAUUUUUAUGGUAUGACGUCAUACAGAAAAAAAUUGUACAGAAAUUUAUACCGGUAUGCAGUGCCUGAUUCAAUGUGUUUUGUAUAUUCAACAUUUUUAGUAAUUAGUUAAUUAGGUCGUCCUCGAGUAUACCACUCACUGUUCUUCGGUGCUGGUCACAUAUUUUAGGGUUAGUCGGGUAAAAGAAUGGAUAUUGGACUGUUGUUGUAAAUAAAGUGACACCAAACUUGUUUGUUUGUAAUGAAACGAAAGGUAGCCUACUGAAAAUGGGGAUGAUGAUUCAAUCAAAAAUAGUGAUAGUGCUACUUAUUUAUUUCACUUUAAAAUUAGUGGUCGUAUUUUUUGUUGAAAUAAGUAUGCUACGAAAUGUACAAAUAUGACGUAAAAUUUAAUAAGCCCAUACAAAAUACAAAAAAUGUAUUGUUUCUGACAUUUUGGUAAAAGUUAUAUUGUGUUUGACAUUUCGGAAAUACAUUUAGACAAAAUAUAGUGGAUGCAGAAUUUGAAUAUUGGUCGUCAUACCUGUUAGCAGUCUGCUAAGAUUGUUAGUUCACGUUUAUUAUAAGUGCAAGGAAUUGACUUAGUUGUUAUGGUAAGUCUUAAGAGAAUGAUACGAAUCUUUUUAAAGAAAUUGUGAAAAGACUUGACAUCUGAGAGACAUGAAUAAGAACGAAGUGAUAGUAAGUGACACUAUGAUAUUUAUGCAUACCCCGUUAGUAUACCAUAAUAAGCAUCAAUAUAGUAUUUAUGUAUGUUCUAAGGGAACAAUAUAUUAUCUUAA